GGAGAGAUGGCCGAGCGGCUGAAGGCGCUCCCCUGCUAAGGGAGUAUAGGGUUUAUAGCCCUAUCGAGGGUUCGAAUCCCUCUCUCUCCGCCA
rnacentral:tRNA from 1 species